UGAGUAAUGUCUGGGAAACUGCCUGAUGGAGGGGGAUAACUACUGGAAACGGUAGCUAAUACCGCAUAAUGUCGCAAGACCAAAGAGGGGGACCUUCGGGCCUCUUGCCAUCGGAUGUGCCCAGAUGGGAUUAGCUUGUUGGUGGGGUAACGGCUCACCAAGGCGACGAUCCCUAGCUGGUCUGAGAGGAUGACCAGCCACACUGGAACUGAGACACGGUCCAGACUCCUACGGGAGGCAGCAUG
rnacentral:rRNA from 1 species